UACCAGCUCUUCGAGUGGUGUGGAUGUUUAUUGGGCCUAAAGCAUCCGUAGCUGGCUGGGCAAGUCCCCUGUUAAAUCCACCGAUUUAAUCGUUGGAGUGCGGGGGAUACUGUUCGGCUAGGGGACGGGAGAGGCAGACGGUAUUUUCGGGGUAGGGGUGAAAUCCUAUAAUCCCGGGAAGACCACCAGUGGCGAAGGCUGUCUGCUAGAACGCGCCCGACGGUGAGGGAUGAAAGCUGGGGAGCGAACCGGAUUAGAUACCCGGGUAGUCCCAGCUGUAAACGAUGCAGGCUAGGUGUUUGGGCGGCCACGUGCCGCUCUAGUGCCGCAGGGAAGCCGUUAAGCCUGCCGCCUGGGGAGUACGGCCGCAAGGCUGAAACUUAAAGGAAUUGGCGGGGAGCAGCACAAGGGGUGAAGCUUGCGGUUU
rnacentral:rRNA from 1 species